rnacentral:rRNA from 1 species
UACAGAGGUCGCAAGCGUUGUUCGGAAUCAUUGGGCGUAAAGGGCGCGUAGGCGGCGCGGUAAGUCGGGUGUGAAAUCCCGGGGCUUAACUCCGAAACUGCAUUCGAUACUGCCGUGCUUGAGGACUGGAGAGGAGACUGGAAUUUACGGUGUAGCGGUGAAAUGCGUAGAUAUCGUAAGGAAGACCAGUGGCGAAGGCGGGUCUCUGGACAGUUCCUGACGCUGAGGCGCGAAGGCCAGGGGAGCAAACGGG